GGAGUUGUAGCUCAGAGGUAGAGCACUCGCCUAGCAUGAGUGAGGCACUGGGUUCGAGCCUCAGCACCA
rnacentral:tRNA from 1 species